UACGUAGGGUGCAAGCGUUAAUCGGAAUUACUGGGCGUAAAGCGUGCGCAGGCGGUUUUGUAAGUCUGACGUGAAAUCCCCGGGCUCAACCUGGGAAUUGCGUUGGAGACUGCAAGGCUUGAAUCUGGCAGAGGGGGGUAGAAUUCCACGUGUAGCAGUGAAAUGCGUAGAGAUGUGGAGGAACACCGAUGGCGAAGACAGCCCCCUGGGUCAAGAUUGACGCUCAUGCACGAAAGCGUGGGGAGCAAACCGG
rnacentral:rRNA from 1 species